rnacentral:rRNA from 1 species
CUUCUCCUACGGGGGGCAGCAGUGAGGAAUAUUGGUCAAUGGGCUUACGCCUGAACCAGCCAAGUCGCGUGAGGGAGGACUGCCCUAUGGGUUGUAAACCUCUUUUGUCAGGGAGCAAUUGGCGCUACGUGUCGCGUUAUCGAGAGUACCUGAAGAAAAAGCAUCGGCUAACUCCGUGCCAGCAGCAGCGGUAAUACGGAGGAUGCGAGCGUUAUCCGGCUUUAUUGGGUUUAAAGGGAGCGUAG